rnacentral:miRNA from 1 species
UGAAAAGAUCCUGGUAAGAGAAUUUAAAAAACAAAAUUUGUAUGUGUGUGUGUGCAUGUAUAUAUAUAUAUAUAUAUAUAUAUAUAUAUAUAUACAUGCACACACACACAUACAAAUUUUGUUUUUUAAAUUCUCUUACCAGGAUCUUUUCA